GACGAACGCUGGCGGCGUGCUUAACACAUGCAAGUCGAACGGACAGGCCCUGCUUUUGUGGGGUGCUCGAGUGGCGAACGGGUGAGUAACACGUGAGUAACCUGCCCUUGACUUUGGGAUAACUUCAGGAAACUGGGGCUCAUACCGGAUAGGAUCUCCUGCUGCAUGGUGGUGGUUGGAAAGUUUCGGCGGUUGGGGAUGGACUCGCGGCUUAUCCGCUUGUUUGUGGGGUAGUGGCUUACCAAGGCUUUGACGGGUAGCCGGCCUGAGAGGGUGACCGGGCACAUUGGGACUGAGAGACGGACCAGAAUGCUACGGGAGGCAGCAGUGGGGAAUAUUGCACAAUGGGCGGAAGCCUGAUGCAGCAACGCCGCGUGCGGGAUGACGGCCUUCGGGUUGUAAACCGAUUUCGCAUGUGACGAAGCGUGAGUGACGGUAAUGGGUAAAGAAGCACCGGCUAACUACGUG
rnacentral:rRNA from 1 species